CCCGUCGCCUUCCCCUGUGCGGAGGCAUGAUCCCUCUCCCCUGUUUGUCCUUCUUCCCGUGGAUUUCACGGAUCUGAGGGGACUAGCUCUCUGCCAAGUUUGGUCUGUGUGGGCAAUGGCCUCGAGUUCAGAGGGGACUGGGAGGGAAGAGGGUCAGGCUCUGCCCCAUGCUGCGCACACAUGAAACGACUGCGUGUGCCUCAUUUCUUUAUCAAGCCAGGCUGAAUGUGCUUCCUUCUGAGGAAUAAAGCAGCACCAGAAUGGAAAAGAACAGAUGACACCAGUGUCUAGGAUCUGGGUGCCCUCCUUGGAGAACAAGAGGGACGGGUGAGGCAUAUCCACCACUGCCUGUGGUGGAAACCGAAGUCACCGCUGUUCCUUUCCUUCAGCAUCAUCCAUAAUGCUGUCAUCUGGUCUCUGUGCAAGGGAAGGGCAGACACCGAUGGCCUGCCUCCUUGUGGGUUGUGUAUUAUCAGCAGUUUCAUAACAAAAGAGUUUAAGGCUUAA